rnacentral:rRNA from 1 species
GAAUGCACUUCCUCUUUGAACAAGGGGAAUUUUUUAGAGUUACUUGAUUGGGUCAAAGAAAGGUGCCUGGAAGUUAAACUUGCAUUUUAUGAGCUAUGUCCUAAAGCCAAAAUGACUUCAGGAACCAUGCAAAAAGAACUUGCUAAAUAUUGUGCAAUGGUGGUCACCAAAGCAGACAAAGAAGAGAUGGAUGGUUGUCUUUUCACUGUUCUUAUUGAUGAGUACCGUGAUAUUUCAGUGAAAGAGCAAAUGGCUAUGGUUGUCAGGUUUUUGAGCAAAAAAGGAGAGACCAUUGAAAGAUUUUUGGGUAUCAAGCAUGUCCCAUACACAACAUCAGCAUCUUUGAAGAAGGCUUUUGUUGGAGGUUUUUGGUAA